rnacentral:rRNA from 1 species
GACGUAGGAGGCGAGCGUUGUCCGGAUUUAUUGGGCGUAAAGCGCGCGUAGGCGGCCCGUUAAGUCGGAUGUGAAAAUCCGGGGCUCAACCCCGGACCUGCAUUCGAUACUGCGGUGCUUGAGGACUGGAGAGGAGACUGGAAUUUACGGUGUAGCGGUGAAAUGCGUAGAUAUCGUAAGGAAGACCAGUGGCGAAGGCGGGUCUCUGGACAGUUCCUGACGCUGAGGCACGAAGGCCAGGGGAGCAAACGGG